ensembl:lncRNA
GGGGGGGUUCAGCAACAAUGCAAAUAGCAUUUGAUUAAUUGUUCACCAGCCUGUUAAGGAGCCUUUUGGACCUAGACUUGGUGCUCCGGUACCGCUUGUCGUGCGGUAGCAGAGAGAACAGUCUAUGAACGGCAGUAAUAAAGCCUCCCAGAAAAUAUAACAAACUAUCGGCCUAUAUCGAAUCUUCCAUUCCUCUCAAAAGGGGCUGAGUCACUGGCUUACUGGUGCUCUUUCAUGCCGUCCCUAGGAGGGGUGCAUCACUUGAGUGGGUUGAGUCACUGAUGUGAUCUUCCUGUCUGGGUUGGCGCCCCCCCUUGGGUUGUGCCGUGGCGGAGAUCUUUGACAUGCUUUUUUCAACACUCUAGAGACAGCAGGAGUGGUAGAGAUACUCUCAAUGAUCGGCUAUGAAAUGCCAACCGACAUUUACUCCUGAGGUGCUGACUUGCUGCACUCUUGACAACUACUGUGAUUAUUAUUAUUUGACCAAUUUAUGAACAUCUUGGCCAUGUUCUGUUAUAAUCUCCACCCGGCACAGCCAGAAGAGGACUGGCCACCCCUCAUAGCCUGGUUACUCUCUAGGUUUCUUCCUAGGUUAUGGCCUUUCUAGGAGUUUUUCCUAGCCACUGUGCUUCUACACCUGCAUUGCUUGCUGUUUGGGGUUUUAGGCUGGGUUUCUGUACAGCACUUUGAGAUAUCAGCUGAUGUACGAAGGGCUAUAUAAAUACAUUUGAUUUGAUGACUUGGGUGACUGGAUUCUUUUACAAUUUUUGGGGCCUUCCUCUGACACUGCCUUUUAUAUAGGUCCUGGACGGCAGGAAGCUUGGCCCCAGUGAUGUACUGGGCUGUAUGCACUACCCUCUGUAGCGCCUUACGGCAGGAAGCUUGGCCCCAGUGAUGUACUGGGCUGUAUGCACUACCCUCUGUAGCGCCUUACGGCAGGAAGCUUGGCCCCAGUGAUGUACUGGGCUGUAUGCACUACCCUCUGUAGCGCCUUACGGCAGGAUGCUGAGUAGUUACCAUACCAGAUGAUGAUGCAACC